CACUGAGCCAACUAACCGUAGAGUAAGAAUCUCUAUUAAGUAUUUAUUUAUCAAAGUAAUUAACUAUUAACUAACACUCUUAAUUUGUGCGUAGUUCGUGGCAUCACUUUUGGGGGUGGAGGCUGGACAAGAUGCAGUGAUACGUGCCUUGCUGUAUAAGAUGGCUCAUUGGAAGGUGUUUCCGUACAGACUCACAGUGGCUGAUUUCACCAACCUAAUUUCUGGGCUUAGGAACAAGCUUGGCGGGUGUGGCAUCAAAGAUGAAGGCAUCAUAGUGCCCGAGACGCUCGGGGCUGAGAAUCGGACUUGUAGCAACGUCUUGUCGGCUGACCUGGAUUCGCUGUCGUAUGCGAGAACACAACCUGAGAUCCUGAGGAUUGUGUAUGCAACUGGCGAUGAGUCUGUGCCAGGAGGAUUUUAUCCUCGAGGUGCAAAUGGCAACAUUGCAAGGCGCUUCCUUAAUGAGUAUUAGUAUCUCUUAAUGAUUUAUAAGACCACCCAAUCAGUGCUUGUCUCUAAGCUAGCUAGCACAUAAAUCAUUAACUGAGACCAAUACGUAUCGUUAUAAUCAUGUUGUUCGUGUUUAUGAAUUUCAAUCCAUGAGUGUAAUAAUGAAUUACGAAUUGUUAUUGUAUGAAUUUUUU
rnacentral:lncRNA from 1 species